CGGGGCGUAGCGCAGCCCGGUAGCGCGCCUGCUUUGGGAGCAGGAUGUCGUAGGUUCGAAUCCUACCGUCCCGACCA
rnacentral:tRNA from 1 species